CUACGGGCCGCUGCAGUCGAGAAUCUUCCGCAAUGGACGAAAGCCUGACGGAGCGACGCCGCGUGCGGGAUGAAGGCCUUCGGGUUGUAAACCGCUGUCAGUGGGGAGGAAAUGCAUCAGGGUUCUCCCUGGUGUUUGACCGAUCCGCAGAGGAAGCGCAGGCUAAGUUCGUGCCAGCAGCCGCGGUAACACGAACUGCGCGAACGUUAUUCGGAAUCACUGGGCUUAAAGAGGUCGUAGGUGGCCUUUCAAGUCGGGUGUGAAAUCCCUCGGCUCAACCGAGGAAUUGCGCCUGAUACUGUUGGGCUUGAGGGGGAUAGGGGUGAGCGGAACUGAUGGUGGAGCGGUGAAAUGCGUUGAUAUCAUCAGGAACACCGGUGGCGAAGGCGGCUCACUGGAUCUCUUCUGACGCUGAGGAACGAAAGCUAGGGGAGCGAACGGGAUUAGAUACCCCGGUAGUC
rnacentral:rRNA from 1 species